AGAGAAGCAGACAUCUUCUAGUUCCUCCCCCACUCUCCUCUUUCCGGUACCUGUGAGUCAGCUAGGGGAGGGCAGCUCUCACCCAGGCUGAUAGUUCGGUGACCUGGCUUUAUCUACUGGAUGAGUUCCGCUGGGAGAUGGAACAUAGCACGUUUCUCUCUGGCCUGGUACUGGCUACCCUUCUCUCGCAAGCCCCUCCGAGAUCGAGAUGAUGCUCAGUACAGCCACCUUGGAGGAAACUGGGCUCGGAACAAGUGAACCUGAGACUGGUGGCUUCUAGAAGCAGCCAUUACCAACUGUACCUUCCCUUCUUGCUCAGCCAAUAAAUAUAUCCUCUUUCACUCAG
rnacentral:lncRNA from 1 species